rnacentral:tRNA from 1 species
GCAGCGGUGGUUCAGUGGUAGAAUUCUCACCUUCCAUGCAGGAGGCCUGGGUUCGAGUCCAGCCAAUGCC